AUGUCAGGUGUAAGUCGUCCUAAAGUGAUCGUCCUGCCGCCGUCCAGUGAAGAGAUUUCCAGCAAGAAGACAGCAACAGUGAUGUGUGUGGCCAGCAAUGGUUUCCCUUCAGACUGGAGUCUGAGCUGGAAAGUGAAUGGGAAGAUGUCAGGAUCUCAGGAGAACAGAGCUGGAGUCCUACAGAAAGACGGCGGUCUGUACAGCUGGAGCAGCAGUCUGACUCUCACUGAACAAGAAUGGAUCAACAGAGACUCAGUGAUCUGUGAGAUCAGUCGGGAAGGUCAGACAGUCACUGGAGAAGUGAAGAAAGAUCUGUGUUCUGAGUAG